rnacentral:tRNA from 1 species
AAGGCACUAGUAAAAUGCUAUAACAUUGCCUUGUCAAGACAAAAUUGUGGGUUAAAAUCCCACGUGCCUUG